rnacentral:rRNA from 1 species
UACAGAGGUCUCAAGCGUUGUUCGGAUUCAUUGGGCGUAAAGGGCGCGUAGGCGGCUGUUCAAGUCGGGGGUGAAAGCCUGUGGCUCAACCACAGAAUUGCCUUCGAUACUGGACGGCUGGAGACCGGAAGAGGUCAGUGGAACUGCGAGUGUAGAGGUGAAAUUCGUAGAUAUUCGCAAGAACACCAGUGGCGAAGGCGGCUGACUGGUCCGGUUCUGACGCUGAGGCGCGAAAGCGUGGGGAGCAAACAGG